CGCCUGCCACGAAGAGCACCGCGCAGUCGGCCUGCACCGCGGGGAUACACAAACACACCGGGUUGCGGGAGGGGGCAUCGGACUGACUUUGGGAGGUUCCGAAUCCCAUUGUAAAGCUGGGGAAUGCCCUCCAGAACUCAGAUGGCCAAAUGGGAUUCAUGGACCACCCUAGAUGCGGUGCAUGGGGGUCCUGCUUCCCAGUUCCUCUCAUUUAAUCUCAUCUAAAUCAGCUUUUAGUCCCUUCUUUCUGGACCAACUGAUCUACUAGUCUGAGUGUAAGAAAACCUGGUCCCUCUAGGCCCCCCCAGGACAACAGGAUCUGAGCUUCAUGAGAGUGAUGGGACUUUCAGUCCUGUCCUCCCUAAUUCUUUCAGGAUUGAUGGAUGAUGGCCAUAGGUGAGGAAAAGGCUUACAAGCCUUAUGAUACCUUCCUUCUCCAAGCUUCAGAAAUAAAUCUUGAGUUUCCCCCUCUAUAGGAAUGUUUCUGAAGGCAUGGACUGCUUUACCUGGGAAGUGCCCCUGAUCAUGGUCAUGAUGAAGUCUCUGUGGCCUGGAGCAUCGAUGAUAAUGCUGUAGUAUGUGCUAGUCUUGAACUUCCACAGGGAGAUAUCAAUGAUCCUUUUCCUUCCCGUCUCCACAUGUCCAGAAGUUUGGUCCCCAUAAAAUUACAGUGGGCUGGGCACAGUUGCUCACGCCUGUAAUCUCAGCACUUUGGGAGCCUGAAGCAGGAGGAUCACUUGAACUUAGGAAAAGAAGGCCAGCCUGGGCAAUAUGAUUUAACCCAUCUCUACAAAAAAUUAAAAAUAGAGAAAAGAAAAAUUAGCCAGGCACAGUAGUGUGCACCUGAGGGGGCUGAAGUGGGAGAAUCACUUGAGCCUGGG
rnacentral:lncRNA from 10 species